GCCAAAAACCUAGCCCAAUAAACAUGAAUUCACCUAAGUUAACUAAUUACACUUAAUAAACCAUUCUACAUUUUUAGUAAAGGGGAUUAAAAAAUUUUUUGGAGCUAUAACUAUAGUACCGUAAGGGAACGGUGAAAUAUUUAAUGAAAACCACUAAGCGAUAAAAAGUAAUGAUUACCACUUGUACCUUUUGCAUCAUGGUUUAACUAGUCAAAUCAAGCAAAACGUAUUUUAGUUUGACCUCCCGAAACUAAGUGAGCUACUUCAAGGCAGCUGAAAGAGCCAACCCGUCUCUGUUGCAAAAGAGUGGGAUGACCUUCAAGUAGCGGUGACAGACCUAACGAACUUAGUGAUAGCUGGUUACUUAAGAAAAGGAUCUUAGUCCAACCUAAAAUUCCACUUAGUGCAUCAAAACAACCACUUGAAUUUUAGCGUAAUUCAAAUAAGGUACAGCCUAUUUGAAACAGGAUACAACCUAAGCCAAUGGAUAACAUUAGCCUGUAACACAACCAAGUGGGCCUAAAAGCAGCCAUCUUCAAAAUUGCGUCAAAGCUUAAUUGUACACACGCCUAAUUACUACACUAUUAACUUAUUCCUCCACCAGUAUUAAGUAAUUCUAUACUACUAUAGAAAAUUUAAUGUUAAAACUAGUAACAAGAAGAAGACCUUCUCUUAAAUGUAAGUGUACAUCAGAUAGGACAAACCACUGAUAUUUAACAUAUUUGAGCAUAAAGUAAUAACUUAACAAGAAAACCUUACUUACACCUAUGUUAACCUAACACAAGAGCAUUUUAAGAAAGAUUAAAAGAAAAAGAAGGAACUCGGCAAAUAAUUAACCUCGCCUGUUUACCAAAAACAUCGCCUCUUGACCCCCAUAAGAGGUCCAGCCUGCCCAGUGACUCUGUUCAACGGCCGCGGUAUCCUAACCGUGCGAAGGUAGCGUAAUCACUUGUUCUUUAAUUGUGGACUAGUAUGAAUGGCACCACGAGGGUUAUACUGUCUCCUUUUUCCAAUCAGUGAAACUAAUCUCCCCGUGAAGAAGCGAGGAUAACUAUAUAAGACGAGAAGACCCUAUGGAGCUUUAAACAUCAUAGCAACUACUACACAACAUUCAUCUUUCUGAACAUUUUAAUUUUUUAAGUAGUCUGACUAUAAGUUUUUGGUUGGGGUGACCGCGGAGCAUAACAUAACCUCCAUGCUGAAGGAUUUAACUCUAAGCUAAGAUCUACGCCUCUAAGCAUCAGCACACUGACAUUUAUUGACCCAAUACAAUUGAGCAACGAACCAAGUUACCCUAGGGAUAACAGCGCAAUCCACUUCAAGAGCUCCUAUCGACAAGUGGGUUUACGACCUCGAUGUUGGAUCAGGGUAUCCUAAUGGUGCAGCCGCUAUUAAAGGUUCG
rnacentral:rRNA from 1 species